AUUUCACUUUUGUGUUUUCCUCUUCCUAUACCAUUACUCAUUGAGUGCCCUGUAAAAUUACAAUCGUACAUUUUCAACUCAGCAACCCAUUUGCAGUGCAAAAAUAGGGUCUAAAUAAUGGCUGAAUUAGCCCUACUGGACAGUUUCAGAUGUAACACUCUGUAAUAAUUAUAUUGCAGGCUGGAUUAGGAUGCUAUUAUCAUAAUCUGGACGUUUACAAUUAUCUGUAAUUUGCAAAGAUGCGCCAGGUCUUGAUUACAGCAGUUUUUUUUUUUUUUUGUAUCACGCUAACCAUCACUAAACAGUGACAGUAAUAACAGCUAAUUUUGCUGGCAAUAUAAGAGGUGCUGGGGUGUGCAAACAAUUUCACACCUGGAUGUGCUCACUCAACCAAGAAUAUAGAGAAAGAGCUUCUGCCCUGAGACUCAGAAAAAAUUUUCCUCUGCUUCUGUUCAGUAUAGAUUUCUAGACCCUGAUCAUUGCUUAAGAGAUAUUCACUGGGGGUCCUACGUCUCUGCAAUUUGUGUAUGAAUAACAGAAUAAUUUCCCUCUUUUGUUUCGCCUUUCCUGUUCCUGAAUCUAAAUAAAGAUGGCUUUUUAGUAUUAAAAGUGGAAGAAAAUUACAGGUAAUUAUCUUUGACGGUAAAAACGCUGUAAUCAGCGGGCUACAUGAAAAAUUACUCUAAUUAUGGCUGCAUUUAAGAGAAUGGAAAAAAACCUUCUUGUGGAUAAAAACCUUAAAUUGUCCCCAAUGUCUGCUUCAAAUUGGAUGGCACUGCAGCUGGAGGCUUUGUUCAGAAUUGAUCCUGGGGAGCUACGAACCCAAAGUUUCACAGUAGGAAGGGGGAAAAAAGAAAAGAAAACAUUUUUCCUAAUGUAACAAUGCGAAUGCUAGAAAAUGACAAGACUGAUCGGUUUUAAACCAUUCUGAAGACUGACUGAGCGUGGAAGUUGCUCAACAAAAAAAGGAACGGGUAUAUUGGUAAGUAGUCUUUGCUUUGUGUCUAAUUAUAGUGACUGUCCUUUUGCACGACUGUAUGUCGCUGUCAUUAUAUGGAGCACUCUGAGUAUCUCUAUUGACUUCUGAUAAAUGGCUCAGUGGUUUCAAGGUUCAUAAUUUGAAGGAUGCCCAGGUCUGUAGCCAUUAAUUCUCGCAGUAUGGGGCUUCCUGCUUGUAUGACGAAAGGACUUUUCAUUUUCAUUAUUUCUGUGCUUUCCACAAGAUCGGAAGGAUGUAUUUCAUUUAGGAUAGUACAUUUUCCUACCUACCUAGCUUGCAAAGGGUUUAAACAUUAAGUAGUCAUAAUUGUGAAUUUACUUUCUAUAUUUUAACCUUUUUCUCUGUAAGAAGAACUGCUUUCAAAUAAAGACAAAUACAGCUGUAUUUGUAUUUGACUGAGGAAAAGGGAAAGAAGAAAACUCAGUUUCAGCACUGGAAAUUGCUGGAUGUCUAGGGGUUAACCUGGGAAUAACAUUCAAAUAUUUAAAAUAGAUAAAAUUGGAGAAAUAAAUGUGUUUAAAUUAUAAUAAAAAUAUAAAUGCAAUGGAAGCUAAGAAAACAUCCGUAGUUAAUGUUAAAGCACUUAAGACAAAAAAACUAGUGCUGCAAACUGACAUCUUCGUAGGCAUUUGAUGUUUAUAUAUAGGACUUCCCAUAUUAGGAAGUAGGAAUUCUUUUUAAGAGUGAUAAAAAAUAUACUGGGAGGGAGUGGAGGGGGAGUAAGACAGAGACACACAGUGAGAAAUAUACAGAACACUCCCAGCAUUUUGUGGCUUUUACUCCAUAUAUGAAAGAAGACAAAAACAUACAAAGUAUAUGUACAACUAAAAUUCAACAAUAUAUACAGAAAUGUUUCUCAAUAUAAACGUCCCUAUUAGCUUAGUGAACGCCACCAUUUCACCUAGUAAAGGUAUCAAAGCAAUAGAAUGGUGAUUUUGGUUGUUUCUUCUGUCUUUCCUGAUUCCAGUUCAGGGUUUGGGGUGGGAUGGGGAAAGAGUGGUUUUCUCUCUUUUCUUUCUUUUUUUAAACCAUCAUUCUUGCUCAUUGCAUUUUGAUAAAACAUACAGCGUUCCCUUUGUGGCAAUGUUCUGCCCUUACAGCCGAUUUUCCCUUUUCUUUAGAGAGGGUGUUAUGUGAGGGAUUGUUUUCUUUUUUCUUUUUUUUUUCCUUUUUGUCAGUCUGGGAUUUGGUAAAUAAAAAUUCAGGAGUCCCAAAUGUUUAUCUUUCAUCAUGUAAUGUCUUAAGCUCAUUAAACAAGUAAAACGCUGCCAUGUUUGUGCAGAUUCCUCUGGUGUGGGAAAAAAGGUUGUUUUUUUUUUUUUCAAUCAUUUUUGAUGGAUACUCCCAAAGAGAAGAAGAGGCUAGAGCCUGGAUCCCAAGGGAUAAGGGUGGGGGGGGGGGAAACCGAUCCUUACAAGGAGGGGUUUUCAGGAGCACUGGCAUAGAAACCAGUCUAGGCUCUCUGGAUCUCUCCUCUGCCCUCCCCCCACCCCCCAUGCAAAGAUCAAUUACUGAGGCUGCUCAAAGGGAAAAAGCAGAUGAGAAGAAGAGAAAGAU